UGGGGAAUUUUGGACAAUGGGCGAAAGCCUGAUCCAGCAAUGCCGCGUGUGUGAAGAAGGCCUUCGGGUUGUAAAGCACUUUUGUCCGGAAAGAAAUCCUUGGCUCUAAUACAGUCGAGGGAUGACGGUACCGGAAGAAUAAGCACCGGCUAACUACGUGCCAGCAGCCGCGGUAAUACGUAGGGUGCAAGCGUUAAUCGGAAUUACUGGGCGUAAAGCGUGCGCAGGCGGUUUGCUAAGACCGAUGUGAAAUCCCCGGGCUCAACCUGGGAACUGCAUUGGUGACUGGCAGGCUAGAGUAUGGCAGAGGGGGGUAGAAUUCCACGUGUAGCAGUGAAAUGCGUAGAGAUGUGGAGGAAUACCGAUGGCGAAGGCAGCCCCCUGGGCCAAUACUGACGCUCAUGCACGAAAGCGUGGGGAGCAAACAGGAUUAGAUACCCUGGUAGUCCACGCCCUAAGCGAUGUCAACUAGUUGUUGGGGAUUCAUUUCCUUAGUAACGUAGCUAACGCGUGAAGUUGACCGCCUGGGGAGUACGGUCGCAAGAUUAAAAACUUAAAGGAAUUGACGGGGUCAUAGCUGUUUCCU
rnacentral:rRNA from 1 species